CCUGGCUUUCGUAUCCGUUUUAUAUGAAAUUUUUUUAUAAUUAGUAUUUUCAUUGUUAUUAGAUGAUAAAAUAUGAUCAAUACUUUAUGCGUAACUCGUCUUUUUAAUUUUUUCCUAAUUUUUUUAAAUAAGACGGACGGUCAAACGUUGGACACGGAAAUUCAGGG
rnacentral:pre_miRNA from 1 species